rnacentral:rRNA from 1 species
GACGAACGCUGGCGGCGUGCUUAACACAUGCAAGUCGAACGGAAAGGCCCUGCUUUUGUGGGGUGCUCGAGUGGCGAACGGGUGAGUAACACGUGAGUAACCUGCCCUUGACUUUGGGAUAACUUCAGGAAACUGGGGCUAAUACCGGAUAGGAGCUCCUGCUGCAUGGUGGGGGUUGGAAAGUUUCGGCGGUUGGGGAUGGACUCGCGGCUUAUCAGCUUGUUGGUGGGGUAGUGGCUUACCAAGGCUUUGACGGGUAGCCGGCCUGAGAGGGUGACCGGCCACAUUGGGACGGAGAUACGGCCAGGACUCCUACGGGGGGAAGCAGUGGGGAAUAUUGCAAAAUGGGCGGAAGCCUGAUGCAGCAACGCCGCGUGCGGGAUGACGGCCUUCGGGUUGUAAACCGCUUUCGCCUGUGACGAAGCGUGAGUGACGGUAAUGGGUAAAGAAGCACCGGCUAACUACGUG